rnacentral:tRNA from 1 species
AGUGGUUUGGGGAAGUGGCUUAACCCAUCUCGCUCACACCGAGAAGAUCGUCGGUUCGAACCCGGCAAUCACUA